rnacentral:rRNA from 1 species
GUCUUUUUGAUUUUAUAAAAAGUCCAAUCUGCUCACUGAAUUUUAAAGAGCCGCAGUAUUUUAACUGUGCAAAGGUAGCAUAAUAAUUAGUUUUUUAAUUGAAAGCUGGAAUGAAAGAUUAGACAAGAAAUUAACUUUCUUUAUUAUAAGAAUUGAAUUUAAAAUUUGAGUUAAAAUUCUUAAAUGGUGUUAAAAGACGAGAAGACCCUAUAGAUUUUUAUUUUAAUUUGAAUAAAGUAUAAUUUUAUAUUUAAAAUAAAAUUUAAUUGGGGUGAUUUUGUAAUAAAAAAAACUUAAUUUUAUAAAAACAUUAAUAUUUGGAUUUUUUGAUCUAAAAUUUUUAAUUAAAAGAUUAAAUUACCUUAGGGAUAACAGCGUAAUUUUAUUUAAGAGUUCAUAUCUAUAAUAAAGUUUGCGACCUCGAUGUUGAAUUAAGAAAUAUAUAGGAGUAGAAAUUUAUAGUUAUUAGUCUGUUCGACUAUUAAAUUCU